ACCAGUGCAGUGUAGUGGUUUACGUGUCAGACUAGGACUCUGGAAGACCAGGGUUCAAAUCCCCACUCAGCCA